GAAUGCUGAAAUCGGCUGAAAGGACUUACUCGAUGGACAUUUCGCAGGACGACGAACCAGAACGGUUCCGAGCAGGAAAAGGCGAGAAACGGCCUGUGCUAAUUUUCCUGGAUAGCUGAUUUUUGGCGCGCUCCAGCUUUAAUCCUGCAGUCUAAGUGAAUGUGAAAUGUAACAAGCCAAGUGACAGUUAGCAAAAGUCAGAAGACAACUAAAAGGGGGAAAGGCGAAGGGAGAGACGGCAACCAAACAGAUGGAAACAACUCGCAGAUGCUGAUGUUCCUGCCCCAGGAGACAUUUAACAUAAUAAAAACGAACGUGUGCCUUUUGGCCAAGUUAACUCCUGUUCCUGCAUCUGUGUGUGAGUGUUCGUUCCAUGCUAAUAUCACAGACAGUCGCCCCCGCUCAACCCACACAAACUUACAAACAAACAAUAUUGCAAAUGUGUGCGUGAGGCAGUUGGCAAAAGUGUCGUAAAUCGUUUAGACAGCGCGACGUGGCCCAGAAAAAGGAGAUGAGGGCCAAAAAACGAUAUGUAAACGACACAGCAGUCGCCGUGGGAAAAACUGGGAAAUGACAACAAAAAAGACCAAGAAAACGGAGGAUCCAACGAUGAACUGCAUUUGUUGCUCAUAUGUUUCCAGAUAUGCGGAGAAAAAGUGAUAACAAAGUAACUUUUUGCAAUGAUGACUGAUUAUCAAUUUGUUGAAUUCCUUUUUUUACAAAAAAUCCUUACAGAAUAAGGGUGACGAUGGCCUAUCAAUACUGCGAU
rnacentral:sRNA from 1 species